UGGGGAAUCUUCCGCAAUGGACGAAAGUCUGACGGAGCAACGCCGCGUGAGUGAUGAAGGUCUUCGGAUUGUAAAGCUCUGUUAAUCGGGACGAAAGAGUUCUGUGUGAAUAAUGCAGAAAAGUGACGGUACCGGAAUAGAAAGCCACGGCUAACUACGUGCCAGCAGCCGCGGUAAUACGUAGGUGGCAAGCGUUGUCCGGAAUUAUUGGGCGUAAAGCGCGCGCAGGCGGAACAGCAAGUCUGUCUUAAAAGUUCGGGGCUUAACCCCGUGAUGGGAUGGAAACUGCUGAUCUAGAGUAUCGGAGAGGAAAGCGGAAUUCCUAGUGUAGCGGUGAAAUGCGUAGAUAUUAGGAAGAACACCAGUGGCGAAGGCGGCUUUCUGGACGAAAACUGACGCUGAGGCGCGAAAGCCAGGGGAGCGAACGGG
rnacentral:rRNA from 1 species